UCCUCGCUCCGGUGGCCGUGCCGCCGAGCGCCUCCGCCGGAGUCCCGCCGCCGCCUCCCCGCGUCCCACGUCGGACCCCGCCGCCAGCGCCACCUUGGGAGCCCGCAGCAGCUCGCCGCCUCCCCACACCAGGUCGCCGCCUACUCUCUCCGUCGCCGAUCCGUCGUUCUCCGUGCCGCCAUUGCACAGAUCCGGCCGGGAGCAACCGGAUCCGGCCUCCGGCGCCGUCCCCGUUCCCCUCGACCCCGCCGUGCGUGCCCACCUUGCCAAGAUGCCGCCACCGCCGCCAUGGCCCUGCUCGAGGUCGAGCAGAGCAACCGCUCGACCGCCCGCCCUCGUCGUCGUCGUUGGCCAGGCCUGCUGCAGGCCCAGCUCCGCUCCACUUUCCCCUGGCCUAGCCGGCCUGCCCCAACCACCGCCGAAUGGGCCUCAGCCCGCUAAGGAGUCGCGGACACAGGAAGACCAACUGGAGUACGGCCGCGGUCUUUGUGUAACUCGACCACCUAAUCACUUGGAGCUUUUCGGUCCGAAGGGAAGGCCAGGUGGCCGUCGUCGACUACAAUGAUUCAUCUAUCCAUGUGCGCGACUCAUUGUAUCUACAUAUGUCAGUAUCAGAUUUUUCGAUUUGAACAUCUAUGUAUGCUGAAAUAAAAAUGCACGAGUCAGGAACAAUUUUUCC